rnacentral:rRNA from 1 species
UACAGAGGAUGCAAGCGUUAUCCGGAAUUAUUGGGCGUAAAGCGUCUGUAGGCGGCUUUUUAAGUCCGCCGUCAAAUCCCAGGGCUCAACUCUGGACAGGCGGUGGAAACUAACAAGCUGGAGUACGGUAGGGGCAGAGGGAAUUUCCGGUGGAGCGGUGAAAUGCGUAGAGAUCGGAAAGAACACCAACGGCGAAAGCACUCUGCUGGGCCGGCACUGACACUGAGAGACGAAAGCUAGGGGAGCGAAUGGG